rnacentral:rRNA from 1 species
AGUGGCGAACGGGUGAGUAACACGUGGGCAAUCUGCCCUGCACUCUGGGACAAGCCCUGGAAACGGGGUCUAAUACCGGAUACGAGCCUCCACCGCAUGGUGGGGGUUGGAAAGCUCCGGCGGUGCAGGAUGAGCCCGCGGCCUAUCAGCUUGUUGGUGAGGUAAUGGCUCACCAAGGCGACGACGGGUAGCCGGCCUGAGAGGGCGACCGGCCACACUGGGACUGAGACACGGCCCAGACUCCUACGGGAGGCAGCAGUGGGGAAUAUUGCACAAUGGGCGAAAGCCUGAUGCAGCGACGCCGCGUGAGGGAUGACGGCCUUCGGGUUGUAAACCUCUUUCAGCAGGGAAGAAGCGAAAGUGACGGUACCUGCAGAAGAAGCGCCGGCUAACUACGUGCCAGCAGCCGCGGUAAUACGUAGGGCGCAAGCGUUGUCCGGAAUUAUUGGGCGUAAAGAGCUCGUAGGCGGCUUGUCACGUCGGGUGUGAAAGCCCGGGGCUUAACCCCGGGUCUGCAUUCGAUACGGGCUAGCUAGAGUGUGGUAGGGGAGAUCGGAAUUCCUGGUGUAGCGGUGAAAUGCGCAGAUAUCAGGAGGAACACCGGUGGCGAAGGCGGAUCUCUGGGCCAUUACUGACGCUGAGGAGCGAAAGCGUGGGGAGCGAACAGGAUUAGAUACCCUGGUAGUCCACGCCGU